rnacentral:rRNA from 1 species
UACGGAGGGGACUAGCGUUGUUCGGAAUUACUGGGCGUAACGCGCACGUAGGCGGAUUUGUAAGUCCGGGGUGAAAUCCCGGGGCUCAACCUCGGAACUGCCUUUGAUACUGCAAAUCUCGAGUCCGGAAGAGGUGAGUGGAAUUCCUAGUGUAGAGGUGAAAUUCGUAGAUAUGCGGAGGAACACCGAGGGCGAAGGCAAUCCCCUGGGCCGGCACUGACGCUCAUGCACGAAAGCGGGGGGAGCAAACAGG